GUGGAGUCGGGCGGGGGCUGGGGUAGAGAAUCGGGCAGGGGGGCGAGUCGCCCCCCCGCCACGCCGACUCGGGGGUCGGGGAGGAUCUUCCCAGGUCACGAUGAUCGAGUCAAGGCGCCGCCCCUCUCCCGGCCAUCGGACAGCCAGGCCGGCCUGGGCCGGGGAAGGGGGCCGAGGAGAGCGGGGGUCCCCGGGGGAGAAGCCGGGGAGAGAGGGCGGGCGGGCCAGGCCACGCCGCUAAGGGACCCGUUUAUUAUGGUGAAUAACUAAUUUCAGAAUUUAUAGUGCCGGGUUUUCAUUCCUCUGCCAUUUGUAUGGGGGAAGGAGAUGGGCGGGCGGGGCGGGGGGGGGGAGGAACACAUCUUUCUGCGUUAUUGCUUGUCUGCCAUUUGCAAAUCAUUAUUAAUUGUGGCCCCCGUGGCUGGAGCGGCGGGGCCGGGUGCGGGCCGGACGCGGGAGCAGACACACAUACCUCUUCAUCAGGACCCCAGCCGCUCGCCCCAGAGAGCCAAUUACCCCUCCCUGAUUGGGAUCAGAUAAAGAGGGAAUUUUUACAAAUUAGGGAAUAAAUAGAAUUUCCACGCGUGGAGCAGGGCGGGCUCGAGAGGAGGUAAUGAAAAACGAUACAUCACCAUCAGCCAGACAAUGCUAUUCAUAGGCUGAGGCGUUAUGCUCACUACUCAUAAUCCUGCCCCUGACAGACGCCCGCCGAGCGCACCCGGGCCCGCGCCCGGCUUCUGGGGGCCCGGUCCACCCCCCGAAUCGCCCCGGCCGCCUCCCCCGGCCCUCCGUCUCCCCCGGGCCCCCCGGCCUCUCCUGGCCUCUGCCGGGGACCCGCCGAGGGUCGCCUUCUCGGGCCGGCCCGGAGGCCGACGGGGCGAGGACGAGGCCCCCCGGCCUCCCACCUGUCGCGGCACCUGGGCAGCUGACCCUUUUGUGGGAGAGGUUGAUCUGGACAGUCCGUGGGAGAUACGCAAGUGUGGUGUGUGUCCCCGUGUCCACUUGGGGGUUGGGAACUUCUGGAAGGAAACCCUCCCAUUCGUUCACAGCACCCGGGCGAGGUGCUUUGAAACUCAAACCUGGGCCUCAAAGAGCCUCUGACCCAUCAGAGCCGGGAACCAGAGGCUAAUGAGUCGGAGAAAGUACCAGGGGGCCGGGCAAGGCCGCGGGUGCUCCGGGAGACGGAGUUCUUCUCCUUACAAACACGGCGCUCCCUUGGCUGGCCCUGAACUUUGGGGCAAAGAACCAGCGGCUGCUCACCGGGGGCCCCCCCUCUCGCCCCCGGAGGCAGUUUGCCCCGGGGUGAGCUCCUGGAGCCACUGGGGCCUUCGUCCAUCUGUCGAUAUUUACCGCCUGACUGCCAGCGGGUGCCCAGAGGGCACGAUGGCCGCCCUCUGCCGUGGUGCAGCUCGCCCGUUCUGACUCUUUUAGCGUCACUAAGGCAUUGGCCGUUGCUCCUGGGGGGUGCUCCCUCACCCGCCGGCCGGCCCGGACGAGCGCUUGGGGCCUCCCCGGGAGAGCGGGCAAGGAGAGGAUCCAGGGCUGAGGAAGGCCGGCCGGCUCACCUGAAUCGCUCACCGGCGGGCAGGCGGGCAGGCGGCCGGACGCCACAGCCUGCGGGUAGGCGGGAAGUUGGCUCAGCAGAGAGGUGGCUUCCAAACACCCGACCCUGUCCUACGCGACUCUCUGCCCGCUCCUGGCGGCAUCUGGAGUCCCAGGAGGGACUGCCCCCAAUCGGGUUCAGGUCAACGGAGCCCACCUCUGAUCGGAAAAGGAACGGAAAAAUGGUGGCCGGCCCGGGGCAGACUGACGGCUGCAAGCGGGGCACCCGACGGUGGCCGAAGGACCCGGGCCGAGUGAAAGCGAGCAGGACACCCAGGUUCUGCCCUCGAGGAGCGUGAAAACAGAAUGGCGAGGCACGGAAGGGGCGACAGACCGAACUGCCGUCAGAAACGGAGACCCGGAGAAAAAGACAUCCAAGAGUACAAAGAGCAGAGAGCCAACGGAACUGUGUGAAGAGCACGACUGGCCAGACUGAACUUAUUUUUGUCUUCUGCUUCAGAGAAACGAUGUCUUUAGAGCAAGAGAAACAAUAUAUCUGGUCCUGUGUGACACUCUCUUCAAAAAGGGGAAGACGUUACCGUGUAUCUGGUCAGAGAGGUGCUCGGAGACCGGAAGAACAAGAAACUGGAUCAACUGCUAUGACCGGGUCAGGACCAUCCAAUUUGGGGUUUGGCCUCCGAUGGAGACUACAGGUCACUUUAAUAAUGAUAAAGAUGAUGAUUACUGUGGUACUUGUGGCGGAGCUGAGAUUAAAACCCAGGUCUUCUGACUCCCGCACCCAUGCCCCUUCAACUAGGUCAUGUUGCUUAUUAUUUCUUAUUUUUUGAUGGUAUUUGUUAGGCGCUUACUACGUGCCAGGAUCGUGCCAAGCUCUGGGGUAGACACAAGCUAAUCGGGUCCCUGUUCCAUGUGGGGCUUAACCCCUAUUUUACAGAUGAGGUAACUGAGGCACAGAGAAGUUAAGUGACUCACCCAAGGUCACACGGAAGAGAAGUGGUGGAGCCGGGAUUGGAACCCAGAUCCUCUUGACUCCCAGGCCUGGGUUCUACCUUUGAGCAUGGAACCCGUCUACUAACUCUGUUACGUUGUACUUUCCCAAGAGUUUAGCACGGUGCUCGGCACACAGUAAGUGCCCAAUAGAUGGCAUUGAUGGAUUGACUGAGAGGUGACACUCUCUCACUGGGAGUUCUAUAGCGUGGACAGCAGCGUUACCUAUUGGAAAGAGCCCCGGCCUGGGAGUCGGGGAACCCGGGUUCUGAUCCCGGCUCUGUUAUUUGCUGUGUGACCUGGGGCGAGUCAUUUAGCUUCUCUGUGC
rnacentral:lncRNA from 1 species